UGGGAGCAGGAUGGAAAGAAGCCAAAGGUGGUGCUUCUGCCAGUGUGGUGUAUAUGGGUUUGCAUAGGGGGGCUAGGGCCAGUAGUUCUCCUUGGCAGUUGCUGCAGAGGAUGAGGUGGCAGCAGUGAGCUUGGCUGUGUGCUGUGUUGGACUGUGCACGUGAGCAUCCUUCUUUGCUCUUGACUCCUCUGGCACUUCCAAUGUGCUGCUUAGGCUGCCUUCCAGCAGAGAAGCCCUUUGUCCUGUCAUCCGACACACAAGCAGAGAGCAGCACUGCAAGAACAGGACGUGGCUGGAGGCCAGAACCUGCUUAGGCCACCACAAAUUGUGGAGAAGCAAGAGGAGUGGGAGCCUCUCGGUAGUUGUGGAUUGAGGAAUGCAGUGACAGAAAAAUAACAAGCAAUUUGAGAAAAGAAAACUCACUUGUUCAAAAAACCAUGCCUCACUUCUUGGAUUGGUUUGUGCCAAUGUAUCUGAUGAUAUCAAUCCUGAUCUUGGUGGGCUUUGGAGCCUGCAUAUACUACUUUGAGCCAGGACUACAGGAAGCACACAAAUGGAGAACGCAACGGCCAAUCAUGGAACGAGAUCUUCGGAAAACCUUGAUGAUACGAGAUAACCUUGCAUUUGGGGUGCCUGAAGUCUAGUAUCCUGUUCUUGCAUAGAGAUGCAAAAGUAUUUAGAAGAUACAAAGUCAAUGUUCUUUUUCAAAUUACAGUGAGAGGUAUGGUUUGCUCAGGAUAUUUUCACUGCAGAUGAUGUGGUCAGAUCAUAACUUCAUUCCUUGCUGAUGUGAGUUUCUGUUAAAAGUACUCUUUGUUGCCAUCUGUAUUUCUAAGGCAAGGCUUCUAGAUGAUGUCAUCUCAAAACUCCAGUUUUCUGUCUUUAAAUAACUGCCCCUAAGAUUUGUGCAUUCUUUUAGAAUGUUUGACCAUCCAUAGAUGACAAUUUCUGUUUCCUUGAUGUGAAUGGCCACAUUUCUACAAGAACUUUAGCUUUCUCCAGGAGUAGCUGUUUAGCUGCAAAAGUGAUCUGAGUACAUUGCUUCAGUGCCUCCUGGAGAAGAGUCCAACUCAUAGAGCUCACUACUGGUACCAUUUCAUUGUUUUGUUUAAGUUUCUUGAGUGAAUGCAAACCCAAGAAUUGAUUGCAGUGACCAAAUUCUCUUCUCAUCUUCAUCAGUGGAACAUUUUGUGAAGCUUUUUAAUUGCCCAGCUGUAUACAUUUGGGAUUCAGAGAGUUUCUGUGCUCACAGGCUCCUCUCUAAUUCAAAACUCAUUCAGCAAAAAUAACCAUGGGGUUAACUGUGCUAAUUAAAUAUCAGUGAGGAUGGGGGAGAGGCUUUUCUAUGAUUUAUUGGGUAUUUUGUUACUAAGAAUGAGAGUUCUACACUUCUGUAGGCUUGUAUCAUCUAGAACCCUGCUCUGGGAAAGUUGCACUUUUUCAAUCCUUUGCUGUUGCAGUCUUUUUUCAGUCACUGGGUUUUUUUAGACUGACAACCAAACCUUCAGACUAUAAAACACCUUCACACAGACUACCUUUCUGCAUGCAUGCUGAAAGGCACUGAGCUGCAGGCUAUGAUUGUGCAGUUCCUAUCACUAGACAGUCUUCUGGAGCUCCAUUGUAUGGGAUGCUUAUGGAGUAGCUUUGUUCUUAAUCUCUACAAAGUGUUUUCACUUUAAUCUACUCUUUCUAUAAGGCUGAUGUGUUGCCAAAGUAUUCUAUGUAAACACUACUGCAUGGGGAAAUGAUUUCAUCAGUAAUCCCAACAAUAUUGCUUAUAGUGUGCAGACUGCAUACUAACAAUAUGGGCAGAAUCUAGAACCUAAGACAGGGACAGAUAACUGUGGCCCUCCAGAUGUUGUUGACUUGCAACUCCCAACAUCCCAUUCCAUCAGCAUCUGAUGGGCCACAGUUUCCUACCCCUGACCUAGGGCAUGGAGAGUAUCCCCAUAGUCCCUAUCAUCUCUGACUGCAGAGUAGGUUUUAUUCUUUUUUUGGCACAGUGUUACAUGUUCCAUUGUUAUACGACUAGUUCUAGUCUCGUGAUUACCAACUCUACUUGUUUACAUUCCAUUUUAGGGUAGGGACUUGUGCCUUUGCUUCUCCACUGUGCUCAUGCAUGUACAUUCCAUAAGAGGGUAACACAAACAGUGAUACCAUAAAAGAAAAUGUUCAGUAUUCUCAAGACUGUUCCCAAAUUUCACUGUGCCCUCACUAACAGACAAUAUGCAUUCACGUCUGUCCUACCAUAUAGCACAUCAUUUUUCUCUGUCUUCCAUGUUCUCCUGCCAUGUCUGGUGCUGCCUUCUCACAUACUUCAAUACAUUCCACUGAUGCUCUUGUUACAUUUCAUGCCAUAAUCCCUGAUGGUCAAAGUACUACCAUAGGAACCUGGAAGCCUGUUGUAAACAUGCUUGGUCCUUUAAAGUAUCUUUUCAGUCAGCUCACAAUGAAUUAUCUGUAGAAUGAAACUGUAUGCCCAGUUGUCACUCUUACCUGAAAAUGGUUGCUUUAUUCUUUCACCAGCCACUUUGUUUGAAUAGAGUACAUUGCAUGUUGGGGUGUGUGAUUGGCAGUAAGUGGCUGCCAAAGGACACUGCUAAUGUUGGCAAUUACAGUGUUUUUAGCACAAAAGGAUGAAGCAUUAUUUGUAUAAGCAUGUGUAAUACUUCAUGAAGUCUUUUAGCCAUGCAGGUGUAAAGAUCAAAAAAGAUCUCAUCCCUUGCAUUGGAAUUUCCAUGGGAUUUAUCUUCCUGCAGAUAUAAAACAGGUAUAAAAGCUUUAGUUUUUGAGAUGGCUAAAACAGCAGAAUGAUUUGCACCAUAGAUCUUGAGAGGAAUUUGGAAAUUUUACUUUGGGACCUACAGCCCCCAGAAGCCCCCAGCUACUAUGGCCACUAGCUAGGAUUUUGGGAAUGCUAAUCUAAAACCUAACUUUCCAAGCAAUGAUAACAACAAAAUAUAUUCCACCAUGGGUCUUAAUGUAACAUGUGUCGUUUUGAGCACCUCAUGAAUUCCAUCCCUUUCCUAGGAUAGUUAAAUCAGCUAAUUUGCUGGACCCAAUCCAGAGGCCCUUCAUGUAGCAGCAGGCUGCUCAAGGGCCAGCCUUUCUAUUAAGCAGGGUGAGCUAGCACCAGCUUCUGGAUGCCAUAAAAAGGGUGGCAAUUUUUUGAUUAUUUAUUUAAACUGGGUGUGCAUGCAUUUGUGCAUGUGCUGGAUUUCCUCUUAGGCACCAAAACAUAUCCGGGCACCUUGAGUGAUCUAUUCUGAUAAACAAAGAUCAGAUGGCACUGCCAAAGUUAACCAUCUCUUCUGCAAAUGCAGGUAUGACUCUGAUUUAGCACUGGGCCUUGCCUUCCUGUGUACAUAUUGUUCAGUUGACAAUAUGAGUUGCACUAGAAACAGAAAUGCACAGAAGCCUAUUCUAUCUAGAUUUGUCUUUCUUGAAUUGGAGGAAUGAUCUAUUUACUAAAGGAUAUAAAACUGAUUUCAUGAUGCAUGAGUGCUCCCAUUAUAAGGUAGACCAGCUAAACAAAUCAUGAUUCUUCCAUCUGCUGUUUGUUUAUUGUGAAGUUGAAACCGAGCACUUUGAUGUGUCUUUUCUCCAAAAAGCCAGAGAAAUAAAUAACUAUGUUUUAUUUAUUUCUCUCAUUGUCUGGAGAAGAAAUAAGUCAGAAUGCUAGCAUGUAGCACCGCAAAAAGCAAGCAAUGGGUGGAAGGUGUAUAGUUUGUUUAGCCAAUCCUUUUCUUAGUGGGAACAAUCAGCAGGUGCAUAAGCACACUGCACACUGAGUACAGCCUAUGUAAAGGCAUCAUUAUCAGGUUCUAAGAUGAUAUUCUGCUCCUCAACAUGAAUGGAGAUAAAUGCUCACCCCUCUGUAUCCAUGACACAUUAGUUGGUACUGCUAAUAUAGCCAUAGUCUCCAAGCGUCACUUGGAGACCUGUUUUCUGGGCCUUGAUUUUCUUUGCGAUGUCUAGGUUACUAAUGCAAAUAAAUGGACCCCUGGCUGUGCAAUGGGGCAGCAAUAAUUAUCCUUUAUUAGACAUUAGGAUUUUAUGCUUUUGUGAACUGGCUACAUUAUUACUGUAUUUCAUGGCUGAUGCUCUGUGUUGUUGUUUUUGUUGUUGUUUUGGAGGGGAAAAACUCACUAUACAAAAUGUUUUUGCACUAAACCCACCUCAUCUUUCUCAUGUUUGAAGUUUCUUUUCUCAGGGCUGCAUCACAUGCUGGUGGUAAGUGAGAAGAAGAUAUGCUUGCAGCAUGACCACUUUAGUGAGUAUGCUGCAGAUGUGUUUUUCAUAUCAUUGACACAACUCUCACUGGAAAAGAAUCUAAGUCAUGCUUAGAUUCUACACAAACAGAGACAAAACACACCAUGCUUUUUUGUAGAUACAGUGAUUUCAAUAGAACUGUAGAAUAUAUCUGUGAGCAUCACAGAGUACUGAUACACACUGUGUUGGUAUUGAUCUACAGUGUAAGAGAAAUUCAGUAGUUAUUCCCAGCUUGGAUCAGUUUGUCAAUUUAAUUUGUUUUUAAAAAAUGAGUUUUAAAUUCAGUAUUUAAACAUUGUAAUUGUUAAUAGUCACACCUGUAAACUGCUAUCCCUACUAGUCCAGAAGUCACAUUACAAACAGUAAGAAUUACUUUUGGGUAAACAUGUGCAAUUGCACUGACAUUUGAUGCAAAUUAAGAUCAUUUUAAGGGAUCAGACUGAAUUGGACAAUUCCUUGUUUUUUAAUUUCAAAUUGUUCUGAUUCUUGCUAUUAUAUUAAUAGCAUGGGGUGCAAUUAGAAUAGCACAGAUUUAGAAAUAAGAGAUCACAAAGGCUUAGAAACCAAAAGAAAAACUUUUUUAAAACCAUGACAUUUGGAAGCUUGAAUCAUGAAUUGAAAUGCUUUUGAUUUCUGGGACUAUUUGUCCUUAUCUGGAGCCACCAUUGCACAGAAAAAAAGGACAGACUAGAAAUCACUGAAGUCCUAAAACAUAUCCCUGUGUUUGAGGUAAACACCCAAAUAGGCACAUGAUAUUUUAGAAUUUUAUUAUAAAGCAUUUGAUUGCAAUUUGAUUACACCCCACUCCCAUCCCAUCAUUAUAAUGACAGUUGAAUUCUAUGAACUCUGUGAACUCCAUUUAAAGUAUGGAUUUAUUAGGAGAGCACUGAAAUGAAAAAUACCCAGAUAGUUAAACUGGAUGAAGUAUUUUACAAAUACAUUUGCAGAGGUCACUGUUACGUGGCCAGCAGUGUAUGAAUAAGCUGUGAUGUUAGCUUUUUGCCAAAAUCACAUAUUCCCCCCCACCCCCACAAACGCUUUCCUUCUUUUGUCACAUACUGUGAAUUUAACUGUGAACUUCUUUGCCUCAGGAGCUAAGGAAAAACUAAAAGCUUGUGUGAUGUCUUGGAAAGUAUGCUCUCAACCCAAGUUUUGUGCUGUUCACUUGUAAAUGCUCCUGGUGAAAUGCAAUUUCAUGUUAAAUGUUUUAGUGUUUUAAUAUG